rnacentral:rRNA from 1 species
UACAGAGGUCCCGAGCGUUGUUCGGAUUCACUGGGCGUAAAGGGUGCGUAGGUGGUGAGGUAAGUCGGAUGUGAAAUCUCCAAGCUCAACUUGGAAAUGGCAUUGGAAACUACCUUGCUGGAGGUUUGGAGGGGGGACUGGAAUUCUCGGUGUAGCAGUGAAAUGCGUAGAUAUCGAGAGGAACACCAGUGGCGAAGGCGAGUCCCUGGACAAAACCUGACACUGAGGCACGAAAGCGUGGGGAGCAAACAGG